rnacentral:rRNA from 1 species
UACGAAGGGGGCUAGCGUUGCUCGGAAUCACUGGGCGUAAAGCGCACGUAGGCGGCUUUUUAAGUCAGGGGUGAAAUCCUGGAGCUCAACUCCAGAACUGCCUUUGAGACUGCAUCGCUUGAAUCCAGGAGAGGUGAGUGGAAUUCCGAGUGUAGAGGUGAAAUUCGUAGAUAUUCGGAAGAACACCAGUGGCGAAGGCGGCUCACUGGACUGGUAUUGACGCUGAGGUGCGAAAGCGUGGGGAGCAAACAGG